rnacentral:rRNA from 1 species
UACGUAGGGUGCAAGCGUUGUCCGGAAUUAUUGGGCGUAAAGAGCUCGUAGGCGGUCUGUCGCGUCGGCUGUGAAAACCCGGGGCUCAACCCCGGGCCUGCAGUCGAUACGGGCAGACUAGAGUGCGGCAGGGGAGACUGGAAUUCCUGGUGUAGCGGUGAAAUGCGCAGAUAUCAGGAGGAACACCGGUGGCGAAGGCGGGUCUCUGGGCCGAUACUGACGCUGAGGAGCGAAAGCGUGGGGAGCAAACAGG